rnacentral:rRNA from 1 species
CAAGUCGAACGAUGAAGCCCAGCUUGCUGGGUGGAUUAGUGGCGAACGGGUGAGUAACACGUGAGUAACCUGCCCUUAACUCUGGGAUAAGCCUGGGAAACUGGGUCUAAUACCGGAUAGGAGCGUCCACCGCAUGGUGGGUGUUGGAAAGAUUUAUCGGUUUUGGAUGGACUCGCGGCCUAUCAGCUUGUUGGUGAGGUAAUGGCUCACCAAGGCGACGACGGGUAGCCGGCCUGAGAGGGUGACCGGCCACACUGGGACUGAGACACGGCCCAGACUCC